GACGAACGCUGGCGGCGUGCUUAACACAUGCAAGUCGAACGGUGAAGCUCCAGCUUGCUGGAGUGGAUCAGUGGCGAACGGGUGAGUAACAAGUGAGCAACCUGCCCCUGCCUCUGGAAUAAGCGCUGGAAACGGCGUAUAAUACUGGAUACGAGAAGGGUCCGCAUGGGCACUUUCUGGAAAGUUUUUCGGUUGGGGAUGGGCUCGCGGCCUAUCAGCUUGUUGGUGAGGUAAUGGCUCACCAAGGCGACGACGGGUAGCCGGCCUGAGAGGGCGACCGGCCACACUGGGACUGAGACACGGGCCAGACUCCUACGGGAGGCAGCAGUGGGGAAUAUUGCACAAUGGGCGAAAGCCUGAUGCAGCGACGCCGCGUGAGGGAUGACGGCCUUCGGGUUGUAAACCUCUUUCAGCAGGGAAGAAGCGAAAGUGACGGUACCUGUAGAAGAAGCACCGGCUAACUACGUG
rnacentral:rRNA from 1 species